rnacentral:rRNA from 10 species
CAUGCCGAACUCAGAAGUGAAACGCCGUAGCGCCGAUGGUAGUGUGGGGUCUCCCCAUGCGAGAGUAGGGAACUGCCAGGCA